rnacentral:rRNA from 1 species
UACAGAGACCUCAAGCGUUAUCCGGAAUCAUUGGGCGUAAAGCGUACCGAUAGGUGGUUUUACAAGUCAGAGGUGAAAUCCCAAGGCUCAACUUUGGGACUGUCCUUUGAAACUGUACAACUAGAGGGGCAAAGAGGAAGCUGGAACGAACGGUGUAGUAGUGAAAUGCGUUGAUAUCGUUCGGAACACCAAUAGCGUAGGCAGGCUUCUGGGUGCCACCUGACACUGCGUAGGACGAAAGCGUGGGGAGCGAAUGG